GUCCAUACUCUUGGAUCCACUGGGGGAGUCCAAAAAGGACCUCAAAAUAUGUUUGGAAACAACAAGGGCAUUCAUGCAAAAAAAGGGAUGCAAUGUCUCAAGGUGGAGAUGUGAGACAGUCCAGCAUCCUAAACAGUCUGACUCCACCUCUUGUGGGGUAUUUGCCCUGAAAUUUGCAGAGCUACUUU